UACGUAGGGUGCAAGCGUUUAUCGGAAUUACUGGGUGUAAAGCGUGCGCAGGCGGUUUCGUAAGUCUGUCGUGAAAUCCCCGGGCUUAACCUGGGAAUGGCGAUGGAGACUGCGAGGCUAGAGUUUGGCAGAGGGGGGUAGAAUUCCACGUGUAGCAGUGAAAUGCGUAGAGAUGUGGAGGAACACCGAUGGCGAAGGCAGCCCCCUGGGUCAAAACUGACGCUCAUGCACGAAAGCGUGGGGAGCAAACAGG
rnacentral:rRNA from 1 species